AAACUCAGGAGAUUUUCAAUCGAACGCAGGAGAGUAGUUGUGCGUUAAUUUCACCAAUUAUUAGAGACCUUAAGAUCCAGGUUUUUGGCGAUUUCUGGCUGACCGCGAACCGCAAGCGGUCACGUGACCGGGGCUUGCCGUCGCGUUUGCCGUUCGAAGUUCACGUUUUGAACUGAUGGGACUCCUUCUAGAGAAAUGAGACUUGCGUUACAGGCCCAUAAGUAUUGACGUCACUUCCGGCUGCUUGUCGCAAGAAUCGGAAGUCAACGUUAGCAGUGAUGUCUGCAGUUCCAGGAGCUUCAAGCACAUCGUGCAGUUUGUGCUUAAAAAAUGACUAAAAUAAAAAUGAAAUCGUAAUU